rnacentral:rRNA from 1 species
GUCUACAGCCAUGCCACCCUGAACAUGCUCGAUCUCGUCUGAUCUGGGAAGCUAAGCAGGGUCGGGCCUGGUUAGUACUUGGAUGGAGACCACCUAGGAAGACUGGGCACGUAGGCG